UACGUAGGGGGCAAGCGUUGUCCGGAUUUAUUGGGCGUAAAGGGCGCGCAGGCGGUUGGGUAAGUUUGGAGUGACAGUGCUCGGCUUAACUGAGCAAGGCCUCUGAAAACUGCUUGACUUGAGGACCAGAGAGGGACAUAGAAUUCCGGGUGGAGUGGUGAAAUGCGUAGAUAUCCGGAGGAAUACCAAAGGCGAAGGCAGUGUCCUGGAUGGUAACUGACGCUGAGGCGCGAAAGCUAGGGGAG
rnacentral:rRNA from 1 species